rnacentral:rRNA from 1 species
GACGAACGCUGGCGGCGUGCUUAACACAUGCAAGUCGAACGGAAAGGCCCUGCUUUUGUGGGGUGCUCGAGUGGCGAACGGGUGAGUAACACGUGAGUAACCUGCCCUUGACUUUGGGAUAACUUCAGGAAACUGGGGCUAAUACCGGAUAGGAGCUCCUGCUGCAUGGUGGGGGUUGGAAAGUUUCGGCGGUUGGGGAUGGACUCGCGGCUUAUCAGCUUGUUGGUGGGGUAGUGGCUUACCAAGGCUUUGACGGGUAGCCGGCCUGAGAGGGUGCCCGGCCACAUUGGGACUGAGAUACGGCCCAGACUCCUACGGGAGGCAGCAGUGGGGAAUAUUGCACAAUGGGCGGAAGCCUGAUGCAGCAACGCCGCGUGCGGGAUGACGGCCUUCGGGUCGUAAACCGCUUUCGCCUGUGACGAAGCGUGAGUGACGGUAAUGGGUAAAGAAGCACCGGCUAACUACGUGCCAGCAGCCGCGGUGAUACGUAGGGUGCGAGCGUUGUCCGGAUUUAUUGGGCGUAAAGGGCUCGUAGGUGGUUGAUCGCGUCGGAAGUGUAAUCUUGGGGCUUAACCCUGAGCGUGCUUUCGAUACGGGUUGACUUGAGGAAGGUAGGGGAGAAUGGAAUUCCUGGUGGAGCGGUGGAAUGCGCAGAUAUCAGGAGGAACACCAGUGGCGAAGGCGGUUCUCUGGGCCUUUCCUGACGCUGAGGAGCGAAAGCGUGGGGAGCGAACAGGCUUAGAUACCCUGGUAGUCCACGCUGUAAACGGUGGGUACUAGGUGUGGGGUCCAUUCCACGGGUUCCGUGCCGUAGCUAACGCUUUAAGUACCCCGCCUGGGGAGUACGGCCGCAAGGCUAAAACUCAAAGGAAUUGACGGGGCCCCGCACAAGCGGCGGAGCAUGCGGAUUAAUUCGAUGCAACGCGUAGAACCUUACCUGGGUUUGACAUGGAUCGGGAGUGCUCAGAGAUGGGUGUGCCUCUUUUGGGGUCGGUUCACAGGUGGUGCAUGGCUGUCGUCAGCUCGUGUCGUGAGAUGUUGGGUUAAGUCCCGCAACGAGCGCAACCCUUGUUCACUGUUGCCAGCACGUUAUGGUGGGGACUCAGUGGAGACCGCCGGGGUCAACUCGGAGGAAGGUGGGGAUGACGUCAAGUCAUCAUGCCCCUUAUGUCCAGGGCUUCACGCAUGCUACAAUGGCUGGUACAGAGAGUGGCGAGCCUGUGAGGGUGAGCGAAUCUCGGAAAGCCGGUCUCAGUUCGGAUUGGGGUCUGCAACUCGACCUCAUGAAGUCGGAGUCGCUAGUAAUCGCAGAUCAGCAACGCUGCGGUGAAUACGUUCCCGGGGCU